AAUUGGAAGAGCUUGCGUCCAACUCAAGAGGGGAAAAUAUAGUGAUUUCUGAAGAUCAAGUUGCAGACAUAUUCACCAAAAGCUUAGGAAGAAAGCAUUCUGAGAAAGAUCACCUUGCACUGGGGAUGAUGAAACAUAAUUGAGAACCUGGUUCCUUAUUAUUGGCUAUGAAAGUCAUAGUCAGGUAAAAGAUAGCUAAAGUGUUUUCUUGCUAAUUCUAACUCACAUCUAUACCGUUAUAGGUAGACACACAUGAUGACUACAGAAGCAGAUAUUGCAGUGCAUGAUAAAUAAGGGGAUAAAUCUCACUUGCCAAACCUAUCAGGGAACCUAGUUCUCUAACAACAGGUCAGUGCUUUCUUUGUUCUUUCAUACACAAUUUAAAAUGAACAACAAAGUAAUGCCACAUCAUCAUCAGCGUGACAGUCUCUUUUAAUUCAUAUCUCUUUAUCCAAUACAUCAUAGCCCAAAUUCUACUCCUUUCUCUAAAUGAUACAUCUCCCAACCAAAAGGGUGCCGCAAUUUCAGAUUAGGUCCCUUAUCAUAAUUAAAUCAACAUCACAACCCAUUUCUCUUCCAAACUCAAAAUUCCCUAUUUAUCUUAUCUCUUCUAAGGUCCACAGUCCCUCGAGAAUAAUCACAUCAUGCCUGAAAAUCAAGCAACUGUUAGUAUGCCUGAUAGCACUGUGAUUGACUCCUCACCAAUGAGAAGUUUAGGGUGAACAUCUCUCCAAACCCUAAAGAUGAGUCUCAUCCACACUCUACUUCCUUUCCUGUCUUUUUCGAGUCCAUCCCUCCUUUAAGAAAGUCUGAAUAUGUCUGUCCUCCUCUAAUCUCACCAGUCAAACAGAGUCAAAGAGUGAACAAAGGAACCUUAUUCAGGAACCUUCUACCAUAUCCAUGGCUGAGAACUUGAUUGAAGAACAGUUGAAUAGUCAUUAAGAGACUGAGAUCUUCUGGACAAGUGAUGCUCUGAAGACAUCACUCCUUCGUCUGUUGAAAUCUCCAUGGAACCACAAGAAAAUAAGAAAAUAGAGAAUACGUGGUCCAUUGCAUCAGAAGGUGUCAUUAUAGAGAAAUGUGCAAGAGGGCUUGAGCCAUAGGGAGAAGAAAUAGAAGAAGAGGGAGAAUUUUCGCCCUUUGAAUAGCUGACACAAGAUGAUGCUACUGGACCCCAAAUAAUGAACCUGAUCCUUUCAUGGAGAAUCCUAGUCAAGAGUCAUCCUCCCAUGUCAGUGUUGAUCUUACUCCCUUCCCCCGCUUUGAUGUUGAGCCUGUGAAUAUAGUGGUGCAUGAUACAAAUCCUAAUAGUGAAGAAGACGCAAAUUAUUUGGUGUAUGUUAGUUUCAUCAGGGCUAGGACUAAGCUAGUGAUAACUUUAGAGCCACCUCCUAAGGGACCUACUACUCGGUUGCAGCAAAAUGAGGUUCUUGAGUUUUCCCUCAAGAAGAGUAAAUGGAGUAGAAGAAGGAAAAGGUUGGUCAAAUAUGGAAAAGUUGUACAGGCAGAGGAUGUUCUUGUAGUGAAUAUGGAUGAGGAAACAAAAGAGGAACCUAGUUCCUGUCCCGCAAGUCUUCAAGGAAGAAGCACUCUCUCUGUCAAUCAGAAAAGCACACCUCUAAGGGUGUUGAGAGUUCUUCCAAGAGUAAUGUUGCUGGUUCCAAUAAAAAGUUGGCAAAAAGUUCUGGUGACAAGAUAGUGAAGAAGCGUGGUGACUGAUAACUAGGGAUUUUAACACAUUUCAUGCUCCUUCUUGCUUAUACUUUGGUUAUAAAUUCAUAUAAAAUAGUCCCGAAAGGCAUAAGUUUUGGUUGAUUGCAGGUUUGAUCAAAAAAGUAACGAGAUGUCAAAUGUUGGCUCAAAAGGAGUGAAGCCGGCACAAGUACCAAAGACAAGACAAAACUUCGGAGAAAC
rnacentral:lncRNA from 1 species